UACGUAGGGUGCGAGCGUUAAUCGGAAUUACUGGGCGUAAAGCGUGCGCAGGCGGUUUUGUAAGCCAGAUGUGAAAUCCCCGGGCUUAACCUGGGAAUGGCAUUUGGGACUGCAAGGCUUGAGUGCGGCAGAGGAGACUGGAAUUCCUGGUGUAGCAGUGAAAUGCGUAGAUAUCGGAAGGAACACCAGUGGCGAAAGCGGCUUCCUGGUCCAGCACCGACGUUCAGGCACGAAAGCGUGGGGAGCAAACAGG
rnacentral:rRNA from 1 species